rnacentral:rRNA from 1 species
UACGUAGGGGGCAAGCGUUGUUCGGAAUUACUGGGCGUAAAGGGCGCGUAGGCGGCACGGCAAGUCAGGAGUGAAAGGCCUGGGCUCAACCUGGGAAUUGCUUUUGAAACUGCCGAGCUAGAGUGCGGAAGGGGCAACUGGAAUUCCCAGUGUAGCGGUGAAAUGCGCAGAUAUCAGGAGGAACACCAAUUGCGAAGGCAGCUCGCUGGGACGUAACUGACGCUGAGACGCGAAAGCGUGGGGAGCAAACAGG